CUCUGGACACCCUCUGGCUGUCUCAGUCGACCUGCAGCUCAGUCAACCUCUGUCAGCUGGAUACUGUUUUUUUUGGAUACUUUUACAUGGAUUACUGACUUUAAAAUGUGCUCCCAACUGUUGUUGGAUGAAUUCAGCCAUGAGACCUUUCUCCUGGCGUCCUUCUCUCUUUGGGGACAUGUAAUGUAGACACUAAAUGUUCGGGAUUUAUGAUGACAGGUUGGGAAAAGGGCCCAGAAAACAGGGUGCACAUGGACAGCUUCAGGAUUUAGGAGUGACAGGAAGGUCCUGGCAUGGUUCAGUUGUGCAUAGCGAAGCUUCAAAACUCUCAUUAUCAGAAGUGCAUCAGUGACCCCUAAACCUGCACAGUUACAAUUUACAGCACAGCUUCAUCUGAACCUCAUUAAGUAGCCGAUAGAGUUGGCCCUGGGUACAUUGUAAUGUAAUUAUAGGGCACAAUAAUCAACUAUUUGAAAUGAAGAGUGCUGUUUCCCCAAUACAACUCUAGACAGCAUGUGAACACAAACAGUAAACAGAGUGUGUGAUGCAGGCGCUCGGCGAGGAGAGUCGUGAGAGGGUGUAGGAGGCUCAGUAGACUGUAAUAACUGGCUCACUGGAUUAUGUAAACUAUAGAUCAUGGAACAUUCCUCUACGGCUUUAUUGUUUUGAUCAGUAGUUUCUCAGUGACGUCUGUGACAACUAAGAUCAAUAUCUCUCCAGGAUGGAGCUGUCACCCGAAGGUUAUGUCAUUAACUGUGAUGGUGUCAGUCGUGUUGUAGUGGUUGCCUACUGGUUAAUGAUCUGGCCUGCUUACACAAUGGUUCCAGGUUGAUGCCAAGUAGCGGUGACCCAGGAACUAUAGAGGGCCAUUGUGCCCUUGAUCAGUGGCUCCGGAUUGCCCCCAAGGGAACUACUGUACUGGAAGUUGUUUUGCAUUAAAAACCAUGUUAAAUGGUGUGUAAAUGUUUAAAACAUUACACAUUUAUUUAGAUUUUGUGAUAAUCUCAGCUGUGUGAUUGUUUAUAUCAUCACAAAAUGUCAAAUGUAUAAUCGCCCAGCUCUUUGUAUAAAGUCGGAUGUAUUUUAUAUCCGACUGUCAAACAUA